AGAGUUUGAUCAUGGCUCAGGACGAACGCUGGCGGUGCGCCUUAUGCAUGCAAGUCGAGCGAAGCUUUUCAGUAGUUUACUACAGAAAAUGACUGAGCGGCGAACGGGUGAGUAACGCGUGAGCAAUCUACCUUAGUUACAGGGAUAGCCCGAGGAAACUCGGAUUAAUACCUGAUAUUCUUUACAUUUCGCAUGAAAUUAAAAGGAAAGGUCAGCCGAACUAAGAUGAGCUCGCGUUCUAUCAGCUAGUUGGUGAGGUAAAAGCUCACCAAGGCUACGACGGAUAGCUGGUCUGAGAGGACGAUCAGCCACACUGGGACUGAGACACGGCCCAGACUCCUACGGGAGGCUGCAGCAGGGAAUAUUGUGCAAUGAACGAAAGUUUGACACAGCGACACCGCGUGUGGGAUGACGGAUCUAGGUUUGUAAACCACUUUCAGGAGGGAAGAAAAUGACGGUACCUCCACAAGAAGCCCCGGCCAACUACGUGCCAGCAGCCGCGGUAAUACGUAGGGGGCGAGCGUUGUCCGGAUUUAUUGGGCGUAAAGAGCUCGUAGGCGGUUCAACAAGUCGUUCGUGAAAGUUCAGGGCUCAACCCUGAAAUGUCGAUCGAUACUGUUGUGACUAGGAUACGGUAGAGGUGAGUGGAAUUCCGAGUGUAGCGGUGAAAUGCGUAGAUAUUCGGAGGAACACCAAUAGCGAAGGCAGCUCACUGGGCCGCUAUCGACGCUGAGGAGCGAAAGCUAGGGGAGCAAACAGGAUUAGAUACCCUGGUAGUCCUAGCUGUAAACGAUGGAUACUAGACGUAGGAACUGGAUUGACGGUUUCUGUGUCGCAGCUAACGCGUUAAGUAUCCCGCCUGGGGAGUACGGUCGCAAGACUAAAACUCA
rnacentral:rRNA from 1 species